AACAGUUCUCGGGGCGGGGUGAAAUUCCCCACCGGCGGUGACAGGUCACUGGUUUAGGCCAACCUGAAGCCCGCGAGCGCCUUGGUUUUGGACCAAGGGACAGCAGAUCCGGUGCAAUUCCGGAGCCGACGGUUACAGUCCGGAUGAGAGAGAACGAUG
rnacentral:ncRNA from 2 species